GAGAAACGAAAAGUCACAAAGCACAAGGCACGGGAACAGGGAGAGGUGAAGAAUUGCGCCAGCGGGUCAAUCUACCACACUUUACUAUCCCACGGAAAGACGACACCGAAAAAACAACACCAUCAGGCGCUGAGUGGUGAAGGCGACUGCAGACCUUGCUGUAAAAUGGAACGGGGUCUCAGGGAAGCCAUUUACCUGUACGUGGCAAUAUGGCAAAACAACGGCCAGGGGGCACCUGGGAUUGAACCGGGGACAUCUGGACCUGCAGCCAAGGGCUCUAGCCUUGAGCCACGCCCCCUGGCCUGCUGGGGGCCCCUCCUGACAUUAUUUCACCUGUGUUGCCAUGCCCCAGAUUCCAUAGUGGACUCUAAGUUCUAGUCCUACUUGGGCCACCUCUGGAACUGGCAGAGCCACCACACACUGACUGGAGACCACUCACUGGCCAUGAUGCGAGAGCCCAGGCACUGCCUGUGCCCGCUUCCCUGGCCGACCUUCAUCCCAUAGUGAGGACACGCAGCGGGCCUUCCUAAAAGGCCACAAGCCCUAAGACGCUAAGGACUAGAGAAAGGACAGUGACCUGAGGGGUGAUGUUUCCAGCAUAAUCUACAUGCUACCAUGUUGCUGGCAGCCUGUGAAGUACCGUCUUUCUGUUACAGGAUGCAAUCGGAAAGUCGGGCAUUCUUCCCUGGCAGCAGGUCCAGCGCCAGCAGAAUCAGCCGCUCUGCAGUGCCUCGUGCUGUUCUGUGGGCACUGAGGACACCAAGGCCUGGCCCUCACUAGGCGCUUCAUUCCAGGUGAUCCGGGCAAAAUUGAAGUCUCCUGCUUUGUCACUGUGUGCCAACGACGGCCAGGUUCAAAUUCCCGAAUAACUACCAAGAUGGUCCUAACAAAACCAGACACUCAGUGCCAUAUGCCCCUCACGGCCUGCACCCCACCCCCAGUACCAGUUGACACACUGUCUGCAUUCUGUCAAAAACAGAAACCGAUGAUGGCUCCUUGAGACAAAUAAGGAAACUAUUGGCAGGAUGGGAAAAGUCUCACCACACCAAACGUAGCUAGAGAUCUGCGCUAGGAAAUGGGCAGGACUAAAGGGCAGCCGCGCAGGCAGAAUCGUUGACCUCAAAAGGCAUCCUGCUUUAUGGGGCUGAUGAUGCCCCACUGGACACUGCCUGCAGCCAGCGGCCCCACUGCCAAUGCCAGCCCCCUGGCUCCGCUGGAGGAAAUUCCCAACUCCUCCUGCUUCUGGGUAAAUCAUUCAUGUUCCAGGUCUCAAUCAGCUACAGGUGACUGGCUAAGCCUGAGCUACGGCCGGGGCUCAGGGACGGCAGCACCUGGUAUUCCCGGCUUUCAUAGUAUUGUGAGAUCCCGGCUUCCACCAGUCAUACACGGCUCUGGAUCCCCAAAGUACAAAGGAAUUUCAAGUGUUGGGGCUGUAAGAAGAUCGUUACAAACACCCACCACAGGUAGCCCAAGUGAGGCUGCAUCACUGCCACAAUCACGAAUGGUGGGAAGCGUUGGUGCUGCCAGAGCCCGGGAGGCUUUCUGGCACAGGCCCCACCUGCCUCUUCCUCUGCCCUCUUGCAGGAAGAUGCCGUUAGCUGCAACGGCGACACCGGCUCUGAGUAAAAUCACAGCCUGGUCCAUACACUGGAAUUUUAUCCAGCAACAAAAAUAAAUGAGCUCUCAAGCCACAAAAAGACACGCAGGAACCUUAAAUGCCUAUUACUAAGGGAAAGAAGCCAAGCUGAACAGGCUACACCGCAUGCGAUUCCACCGCUAUGGCAUUCUGGAAAAGGGAGAUCCGUGGACAGUAAGAAGAUCAGUGGGUGCCAG
rnacentral:lncRNA from 1 species